CGAGCCGGGCGGGCGGCCGCGUGGAGUCCCCUUAGGGGGCUUCCCGAGGAACGUCCGGGCUCCACAGGGCAGGGUGGUGGCCAACGGCCACCCGGGGUGACCCGCGGGACAGUGCCACAGAAAACAGACCGCCCGGCGCUUCGGCGCCGGGUAAGGGUGAAACGGUGGUGUAAGAGACCACCAGCGCCUGGGGUGACUCAGGCGGCUAGGUAAACCCCACCCGGAGCAAGGUCAAGAGGAAGCGCCUCGGUGCUUCUGCGCGGACGACCGAGGGCUGCCCGCCCGAGUCCGCGGGUGGACCGCACGAGGCCGGUGGCAACACCGGCCCUAGAUGGAUGGCCGUCGCCCCGGCUCCCGCGAGGGAACCGGGGAACAGAACCCGGCGUACAGCCCGACUCGUCUG
rnacentral:RNase_P_RNA from 1 species